rnacentral:rRNA from 1 species
AUGAUGAUCCAUAGAGAUCUCAAAGCAAGCAACAUAUUGUUGGAUGCUGUGAUGAUCCCCAAAAUAUCAGAUUUUGGUACGGCUAGGAUCUUUGGUGUCAAUCAACACGAAGAACAUACCAAUCGAGUUGUUGGAACAUUCGGAUACAUGUCGCCUGAAUACGCAAUGGAAGGCAUCAUCUCCAUCAAAUCCGAUGUUUACAGCUUUGGCGUAUUAGUUCUAGAGAUUGUGAGUGGCAUGAAGACCGGCGCCACAACCCCGACAAGCUCACGCGCGUGCACUCAUAAUCUUAUAGAUUAUGCGUGGAGCUUAAUGAAGGAUGGGAAAGUGAUGGAUCUAAUCGAGUCAUCCAUCGUUGAGGGUUGCUCUCUCGUUGAAGCUCUACGAUGCAUCCAUAUCGGACUCUUGUCGGUGCAGGACGACCCAGAGGCUCGCCCCCUCAUGUCUUGGGUGGUAGCAAGCCUGGAUAAUGAAGACACCGAGCUCCCGCAGCCAAAAGAGCCUAUGUGCUCUGCACACCGUAACUACGGAGCCGGGGAAAGCCAUGUGCAUGAUAUGAGCCUCGUAAACCUCAAGGGGCGCUAG